rnacentral:lncRNA from 1 species
CAGGUGUUACCCAGCUCCCACGCAGCUGGAAAGGCUGGUCUCACUGUCAGCAUGCUCCCCCAACAGCAUCAAGUUUAUUUCCAGGCAGCAGGCGAGCAGGGCUGAGAACUUGUCCCAGGCUACAAGCCUCCCUGCUGACAACAGAAGCAGGGCUUUCAGGUUUUAUGCCUCUCUGCCUGCCACAGCUUCUGUGCUUGUAUCUGCACUCCCUGUUUGACCCCCUCCCCAGAUUCUGUCCAGGAAACUUCAUGUUCGGUAGAAAUUGUUAUAAAAUUCAACUGGAAGUUUUCCUCUCCCUCUGGUUUUUCCUCAAUUCCACUGGCAGCCCUCCCCAAGUUGCAAGAUAAAGACAGAAAAGGCUUCCCUGAGGACUGAGAGUGCCCACAGGGCUCUUGCUGCUGCUUUCUCUACCCCUAUAUUUUGUGCGGCUCUCAGCAUUUGUCUCAGCUCCAGAAUCCAGAGCCUGACUGGCUGUGACGCGCCCAUGGUGACACCAAGGGGACUCUGCAUGGGCACAUCCCGGCCCUCCUCCCUGCAUGUUCUCCAAGCCAGGUCUUUGAAACCUCCAGUGAUGGGAAUGACAGAAUCUGGGAUGAUUUUCUUCUGUUUCUUAUCUAAAAAAACAACAAAAAGCUCAGCAUACACGGACUCACACAAACCUUUUGCUAGAGGCAGCUCUGUAGACUUAAGACGCUGUCAUUUUUCAGAAGAACCCAGCUUGCUUUGGAACUACAGUCAGCCCUGCAACCCACCCUCACCUUGGACCCUGCUGCUGCUGUCUGUAAAGACAAUGCUGCGAUGAAUACACCUGUGCAUUCUUUUUUAGAACAAGUGUAAGAAUUCCUAUGUGCAGCUGGAAAAGUGCUGACCAGAGCAUUGUUGAAGGCCGUAUAGUAAGAAUGGCAAAGCUUCCCUACCAGCCCAACUGACUGUUUUGUGGUGCAGAGGCCAUCUAUUAUGUGAGAG